GUAGGUGGCAAGCGUUGUCCGGAAUUAUUGGGCGUAAAGCGCGCGCAGGCGGUUCUUUAAGUCUGAUGUGAAAGCCCACGGCUCAACCGUGGAGGGUCAUUGGAAACUGGAGUACUUGAGUACAGAAGAGGAAAGCGGAAUUCCACGUGUAGCGGUGAAAUGCGUAGAGAUGUGGAGGAACACCAGUGGCGAAGGCGGCUUUCUGGUCUGUAACUGACGCUGAGGCGCGAAAGCGUGGGGAGCAAACAGGAUUAGAUACCCUGGUAGUCCACGCCGUAAACGAUGAGUGCUAAGUGUUAGGGGGGUUUCCGCCCCCCUUAGUGCUGCAGCUAACGCAUUAAGCACUCCGCCUGGGAGUACGGCCGCAAGGCUG
rnacentral:rRNA from 1 species